rnacentral:tRNA from 1 species
ACUAGCCCAAUGCUCUUCCGACUGAGCUACGCGGUCAGGACAGUUCGAGUAAGUGAUAUUUCGGAACAGUAUCUAGUUCCUUCAAUACCAAUAUGUUCUACUAAUAUGAAUUUUUUUUUCCUGUGUUGGGGUUGUGUACUCAGGUGAAUAAUAUGUUUGCGAUGUUACUCUGAGUGCAUAUCCACACCGGGCGAGCUUGAAAAAUAUGCCCGGCCACGGUGGGAUUCGAACCUACGACCUUUGGAAUACUAGCCCAAUGCUCUUCCGACUGAGCUACGCGGUCAGGACGGUUCGAGUAAGUGAUAUUUCAGAACAGUAUCUAGUUCCUUCAAUACCAAUGUGUUCUUGUAAUAUGAAUUUUUUUUUUUUCUGUGUUGGUGUUGUGUACUCAGGUGAAUAAUAUGUUUGCGAUGUUACUCUGAGUGCAUAUCCACACCGGGCGACCUU